rnacentral:pre_miRNA from 3 species
UGGCAGUGUGGUUAGCUGGUUGUGUAGCCAAUUAUUGCCGUUGACAAUUCACAGCCACUAUCUUCACUGCCGCC